UGCAUUCUGGAACAUACCCAGUGUUCGAACCCGGAAGUUCGGGAAUACAGCCCAAAAAGCUGAGCUAGAAAGCUUCGACCAAGGCUCACAAGAUAGCUACAUGUACAACGACAGUUUGUUAGCUAUCUCGCAUAUUUCUGUGGAUUCAAAAUGGAUGCGGAAACAGAGUGUUGCAAAUGUCACCUCUUGGAUUUGCCCUGGGAGGAUGUGCUGGUAACACACAUCUUCUGCUACCUGCCAUUACGCCAGCUGGUGCGGCUACAGAGAGUGAGCAAGCAGUUCUAUGCCCUCAUCCAGGUGUACCUGGCCAACUGUCGCAUCUUUGACCUCACACAGAUCGGGCCCAGCCUUCCCAAGGAGGCAUUCAGCAACAUACUAAGGGACAACAAAGUCCUUCAGAACUUGUCCGUCCAGAACUGCUCCGAUUGGGUGACGGACAAGGAGCUGCUGCCUGUGAUUGGCCAGAACCAGCACCUGCUGAGAGUGGACAUGAGGGGGUGUGACCGGCUGACCCGUCACUCUUUAGUAGCCGUGUCGUUGAGCUGCACACACCUGGAGUACCUAGUCCUGGCCCACUGUGAGUGGGUGGACAGCCUGUCCAUACGCAGCCUGGCUGACCACUGUGGGGGCCUGAGGUCCAUCGACCUGACCGCCUGCCGCCAGCUCAAAGACGAGGCCAUCUGUUAUCUAUCCAAGAAGUGUGUGAAGAUGAGGUCGCUGUCUGUGGCGGUCAACGCCAACAUUACAGACGUGUCUGUGGAGGAAGUGGCCAAGAACUGCAGGGAGCUGGAACAGCUAGACCUGACAGGCUGCCUGAGGGUUAGGAACAACUCCAUCAGGACUGUUGCAGAGUACUGCCCCAAGCUGCAGUCUCUGAAGGUGAACCACUGUCACAACGUGACUGAGUCCAGUCUGGACCCCCUGCGGAAGAGGAAUGUAGAGAUUGAUGUGGAGCCACCACUACAGAGGGCCCUUGUGCUGCUGCAGGAUGUGGUGGGGUUCGCUCCCUUCAUCAACCUCCAGAUCUAGGCUAAGGAACAUCUGUAUUCCUCCAUCCAACCAACUGGAGACGGGUAGGCUAGCUAGGCUAAGGAACAUCUGUAUUCUUCCAUCCAACAGACUGGAAACGGGUAGGCUAGCUAGGCUAACGAACAUCUGUAUUCCUCCAUCCAACCAACUGGAAACGGGUAGGCUAGCUAGGCUAAGGAACAUCUGUAUUCCUCCAUCCAACAGACUGGAAACGGGUAGGCUAGCUAGGCUAAGGAACAUCUGUAUUCCUCCAUCCAACCAACUGGAAACGGGUUUUCCUCCACUAGGAGAAUUACCUGUUUCAAUUGAAACACACCCUGUGUGCUGGGACAUCAAUUAAAGCAAUGCAAGGACAAGCGGUUAACGGAUGUAUAUGGGAAAUAUAUUGUGGAACUUGUCUCUUAGUUAUUCCAGUGGUAGGCCUAUCAUAGUCUGGAUGCCAGUCUGUUUAGCUAACAGUUAACAGCUCUCUGACUUGCUGGAGGACCCAGUGUUACACCUCCUCACAGUAAUAUUUUGGGUUCCAGUCUGUUUAGCUAACAUGUCUUGUCAUGUGCCACGGAGUACAAAAGAGUGGAAUGUUAGCUAUACAGACUUGAACCCAGACUAGGUCUACCAUAUUCUGGGGAGAAAAUAUGUCUUUUUGAGUUGAUGUUGCAGAUUAUAAUUAUGCCCUUAUGAAAAGACUGAAGGAAGCCAUGCACUUUUUUUAGUAACGCUGUCUAGGAGUCAGAAAGAUUCCUGCGGUAUUUCUUUGUGUCUUAUCACACUCUAACAACACUAGAUGUUCUUGUGAUCUAUAGCUUUUUUAAAAGGGCCAUUCCAACCAAAGGAGAAGACAUUGUAACUGUAAGUUUUUGUGUGUUUAUUGACAUGUUACUCUGCUAAUUGGAUGAUACGUACACCGCUAAAUGUUUCAUUCAGAUUAGCAAGGUAAACUUUUUUAUAUUAGGUAGGUAAACGUUUUAUAGCGUGUGUUUGCAUUGACCUUACAUUGACUGAAACUAUGCUCUUCUUACAAUAUCCUUUUUAAAUGGUAGUUCAGCUGAUCAGUUCAUGCCCGGCCCGCCAUUGUAAAAAUGUCAUGUUAUAAAAAUCUGGAUGCCAUGAUCUUGGAAUCCUCCUUUUUGUCUGUUUUACUUUAGGAAAUCUCGUUUUCGAUUUGAACGUCUGAAAACAUGUAGGCCUAGUUGUAAAUCGACAUUAGUUCAAUAAAGCUUUCUCAUACGGAAUGCUAUGAGGGAGGACACAUUUC